rnacentral:lncRNA from 1 species
GAAUCUUGUCCGCUCCCUUUUGAUAUUCCCACUACUGUUCCCAAGACUUAGGGCCAUUUAAUUCCGUCCAUUAAACAGAAAUGUGGCUGUUCAUAUUCUGUCCCUUCAUCUUCACCCCCUAUAAAUGUUUCGCAUUUUUCACCCUCUAUCUUCAUCUCUUCAUUUUCUUCUUCGAAACCAAUUUGCUGCCAUUUCUUGGCAUUCUGACG